rnacentral:lncRNA from 10 species
UCACAGUCAGUUGCACUUGAGUAAGGACUGCUAAACCUCUCUGAGAGCUGCCAGAUGUUCCUGCCUAGCCUCAGGUUGUUGGUUCUUCAGACACCUCUUCAUUCUGCCCAUUGCACCAGCCCUUUCCCAUCUCCAUGUUCCCUCCAUGGUAAUUUCUUUGUACACAACAACCACACGGAGCACCAGCAAUCAAGAUUAGCUCCCGGGAACUCUGGCGUGCCCUGUACCAGGAAGCACAGUGGAUUACUACAACUUUUGAUAAUGAUUGUUUGCUUUGUACCAGGCAUUAUUUUCAGGGCUGUUUCACAUGUGUUGUACUUAACAACCCCAUGAGGAAAUUAAGGCAGGGUGGUUCAGUAAUUUGUCAAGGGAAACAAGGAAGUAGAGCAGGCAGCAGAGGCGUUCUGGCUCUGAACUACUCUGUUCUGUAGAAAUCAGUGCAAAAGUCCAAGCUUCAGCAUACUUGUUUCAUCUUGUGAUCACAGG